rnacentral:rRNA from 1 species
AUUGAACGCUGGCGGCAGGCCUAACACAUGCAAGUCGAGCGAGCGGCGGCCGGGUGAGUAAUGUCUGGGAAACUGCCUGAUGGAGGGGGAUAACUACUGGAAACGGUAGCUAAUACCGCAUACCAUCAGAUGUGCCCCGAUGGGAUGAGCUAGUAGGUGGGGUAACGGCUCACCUAGUCGACGCUCCCUAGCUGGUCUGUGAGGAUGACCAGCCACGCUGGAACUGAGACACGGUCCAGACUCCUAAGAGAGGCAGCAGUGGGGAAUAUUGCACAAUGGGCGCAAGCCUGAUGCAGCCAUGCCGCGUGUGUGAAGAAGGCCUUCGGGUUGUAAAGCACAUUCAGCGGGGAGGCGUUACCCGAAGAAGAAGCACCGGCUAACUCCGUGCCAGCAGCCGCGGUAAUAC